UCCGGGUGGAGCGGCGGACGGGUUAGUAACGCGUGGGAAUAUACCCAGUUCUAAGGAAUAGCCACUGGGAACGGUGAGUAAUACCUUAUACGCCCUUCGGGGGAAAGAUUUAUCGGAAUUGGAUUAGCCCGCGUUAGAUUAGAUAGUUGGUGGGGUAAUGGCCUACCAAGUCUACGAUCUAUAGCUGGUUUGAGAGGAUGAUCAGCAACACUGGGACUGAGACACGGCCCAGACUCCUACGGGAGGCAGCAGUGGGGAGUCUUAGACAAUGGGCGAAAGCCUGAUCUAGCCAUGCCGCGUGAGUGAUGAAGGCCCCAGGGUCGUAAAGCUCUUUCCACUGUGAAGAUAAUGACGGUAGCAGUAGAAGAAACCCCGGCUAACUCCGUGCCAGCAGCCGCGGUAAUACGGAGGGGGUUAGCGUUGUUCGGAAUUACUGGGCGUAAAGCGUACCUAGCCGGAUUAAUAA
rnacentral:rRNA from 1 species